AACCUUAUGGACCUGCGGGCAUAUACCUGCGGAGGGAUCAUUACAAGUGACCCCGGUCUAACCACCGGGAUGUUCAUAACCCUUUGUUGUCCGACUCUGUUGCCUCCGGGGCGACCCUGCCUUCGGGCGGGGGCUCCGGGUGGACACUUCAAACUCUUGCGUAACUUUGCAGUCUGAGUAAACUUAAUUAAUAAAUUAAAACUUUCAACAACGGAUCU
rnacentral:misc_RNA from 1 species